AUUCGUACCCCAAGACUAAUUCACCCAAAACCCCAAUGCAAUCCAAAAGCAAACCGCCGUUACACUUCACGCGUCUUCCCCAGGAAAGGUUCAAAGAUUCACUCAUGGCCGAAUGCACGAACAUGUUUAUCCACUGUUACAGGAAUUUUUGCUUCGUAGCACACGCGAGCAACCAUGAAUCGAAACUCGCAUCAGCUUCUCACUAAGAAUUAAAGAUGAAUUUCGAAUCUGUAUCCUAUUCCACUCCUGGUGUAAUCGAAAUUGAAACCGAGUUCGUACCAUUGUUCUUGCGCGUGAAUAAGUAAAGAGAGAAAGGUUGUGAAGUGGUCAGGUCUCUCUCAGGGUAAAGAAGAGGGUUUGGUAUGGAAGUUCUGGUUGUGAAGUGGUCGGUGAAUUUUUUAUGAAGUUGCAGGGUUAUAAUCAAGUUUUCUUCUCGUUAGAGGGAGUGUAUGAUGAGGUGAAAUUGUUCAGGUUUUGUUAGCAGGGUGUGGAGGAUGGAGAAGAUGGAAAGAUGGAAAGAAGGGAGGAAGUUAGAGGUGGGAAGAUCUUAGGUUGAAGAAGUUGGCCGUUGAAAGUUAACUGUGAUGAUUUUGUUGAAGCAGUUAGGGAUGGCAGUUAGGAGGAUGCCGGGGGGGAGGGGAGUUGGUUCCGUGUUUGAAGGUGUUUGUUCACGGUCGGGCGUUCUUUUUAGGGGGUUUUCGAUUGGAUUCUGUUUGGAGGUAGUUAGAAAUUGGUUGUGAAACUAUCUCGGUUGCUGGUUAGAAACAGUCCUGUUAUGCUUUUGGGAGAAGCCAUUUCAGGUAUGUUUUUAUAGGUAAAAGGGUGGUUGUGCAAUUGGCUAGGGGAAAAGGUCGCAACCAGUUCCGUUAAAGGGUUUUCGCAUAAGCUUGUGAGUAGCAGCAUUUGGAAUUGUUAGCGGUGGUCCGACUUAGCAGCUUGUGUAGCGUCUUGGAGCUACAACUCUGUUUUGGCCCAAAAUGAGCUAAUGGAAGCACAUGCCGCAAAGUGAGUUCGUCCAAGCAUAUAGAUUGUGGAAAGCAUCAUGGAAUGGUCUACCAAACUCAAAUAUUUUCCUUUUUCCUUUCGAUACAAGCUAUGUAACAUGUGAAUCAUGUAGCAUGUAAUGAUGUAAUAGUCAUCUGGAGAUGGAUUAGUUUAUGUAGAAUGAUUUUAUGUGUGUAAAAUGAGAAUGUUUCAUGGCGCGAUUCACUUAUGGUCGUGCUUAUGUAAUGAAGAACAAAGUUUAAGUCUAGCUUUCACUUUUCUUACCAUGUAUGAAUGGUUUGUUAUGAGAUGUAUCAUAGGAUAAAUGUAUUUGGAAAUGGUCAUGAAUGUAACGUGAAGUUACCAUUGUAACUUGGUUGAA